rnacentral:pre_miRNA from 1 species
AACUACCCUAUCCAACUAUGGCAGUUCGACAGGUACAUGUCGAACUGCCAUAGUUCGAUAAGUACCUCUAUCGAGACACGGUUGUUCGACAGGGUG